rnacentral:lncRNA from 1 species
UCGUGGGGAAGAAAUAGGUCUGACAUCAGUUUAUGACGGUACAGAGCCAGAGAAAGAAGCAACCCAGGUCCAAUCAUUCAGCAGAAUCAUCUCUCAAGGUGCCCUGGGGCCUCAUGCAGAGGGUUAACAAGGACAGAAAGUCUCUAGACCUGGGUCUGUUCAUCCAACUUCCAUAUAUCUGAUGGCCAUGGUCCAGGGUACACCCAAAAAUACAAUCUACCACAUUCACUGUACCUCCUUUCAAUGCUCAAAGGGGCAAGUCAAGCAACGUGCUAUACUGUUACAUUAAUACAAAACUGUAUUUAGGUAUGGGAAUUACUAAAUCCAAAGAUCCUGUGGAUCCCUGUGGAGUAAAUUCGCCAUGUGAUAACCCCCCACUAGCAGAGAACGAAAGACUCACAAAGGAACCUGAAACUUAAACCAAACUGAACCGCUGUGUACUAGAUCUGAAGGCUCUGCCUCAUCCACUGUAUCGUGCUGCCUCCCCAAGGCUUGAAUCGGCAAUGGGGGGAAAAAAAGUACCCUAGGAACAACCUUCUUGAGCCCAUUAAAAC